UACGUAGGGGGCAAGCGUUGUCCGGAUUUAUUGGGCGUAAAGAGCGUGUAGGCGGCUAGAUAGGUCCGUUGUGAAAACUCGAGGCUCAACCUCGAGACGCCGGUGGAAACCAUCUAGCUAGAGUCCGGAAGAGGAGAGUGGAAUUCCUGGUGUAGCGGUGAAAUGCGCAGAUAUCAGGAAGAACACCCGUGGCGAAGGCGGGAUCCUGGGCCAGUACUGACGCUGAGGAGCGAAAGCGUGGGGAGCAAACAGG
rnacentral:rRNA from 1 species